rnacentral:rRNA from 1 species
CUUGCUCCCUUAGGUCAGCGGCGGACGGGUGAGUAACACGUGGGUAACCUGCCUGUAAGACUGGGAUAACUCCGGGAAACCGGGGCUAAUACCGGAUGCUUGAUUGAACCGCAUGGUUCAAUCAUAAAAGGUGGCUUUUAGCUACCACUUACAGAUGGACCCGCGGCGCAUUAACUAGUUGGUGAGGUAACGGCUCACCAAGGCGACGAUGCGUAGCCGACCUGAGAGGGUGAUCGGCCACACUGGGACUGAAACACGGCCCAGACUCCUACGGGAGGCAGCAGUAGGGAAUCUUCCGCAAUGGACGAAAGUCUGACGGAACAACGCCGCGUGAGUGAUGAAGGUUUUCGGAUCGUAAAACUCUGUUGUUAGGGAAGAACAAGUACCGUUCGAAUAGGGCGGCACCUUGACGGUACCUAACCAGAAAGCCACGGCUAACUACGUGCCAGCAGCCGCGGUAAUACGUAGGUGGCAAGCGUUGUCCGGAAUUAUUGGGCGUAAAGCGCGCGCAGGCGGUUUCUUAAGUCUGAUGUGAAAGCCCCCGGCUCAACCGGGGAGGGUCAUUGGAAACUGGGGAACUUGAGUGCAGAAGAAGAGAGUGGAAUUCCACGUGUAGCGGUGAAAUGCGUAGAGAUGUGGAGGAACACCAGUGGCGAAGGCGACUCUCUGGUCUGUAACUGACGCUGAAGCGCGAAAGCGUGGGGAGCGAACAGGAUUAG